UCAGUAACUAGAAGCUUAGCUCUUAACUG
rnacentral:piRNA from 1 species